GCAAGUCGAACGGUAACAUUUCUAGCUUGCUAGAAGAUGACGAGUGGCGGACGGGUGAGUAAUGCUUGGGAACUUGCCUUUGCGAGGGGGAUAACAGUUGGAAACGACUGCUAAUACCGCAUAAUGUCUCCGGACCAAACGGGGCUUCGGCUCCGGCGCAAAGAGAGGCCCAAGUGAGAUUAGCUAGUUGGUAAGGUAACGGCUUACCAAGGCGACGAUCUCUAGCUGUUCUGAGAGGAAGAUCAGCCACACUGGGACUGAGACACGGCCCAGACUCCUACGGGAGGCAGCAGUGGGGAAUAUUGCACAAUGGGGGAAACCCUGAUGCAGCCAUGCCGCGUGUGUGAAGAAGGCCUUCGGGUUGUAAAGCACUUUCAGUUGUGAGGAAAAGUUAGUAGUUAAUACCUGCUAGCCGUGACGUUAACAACAGAAGAAGCACCGGCUAACUCCGUGCCAGCAGCCGCGGUAAUACGGAGGGUGCGAGCGUUAAUCGGAAUUACUGGGCGUAAAGCGCACGCAGGCGGUUUGUUAAGCUAGAUGUGAAAGCCCCGGGCUCAACCUGGGAUGGUCAUUUAGAACUGGCAGA
rnacentral:rRNA from 1 species